rnacentral:misc_RNA from 1 species
GAUGAAGAACGUAGCGAAAUGCGAUAAGUAAUGUGAAUUGCAGAAUCCAGUGAAUCAUCGAAUCUUUGAACGCACAUUGCGCCCGCCAGCAUUCUGGCGGGCAUGCCUGUUCGAGCGUCAUUUCAACCCUCGACCUCCCCUUGGGGAGGUCGGCGUUGGGGACCGGCAGCACACCGCCGGCCCUGAAAUGGAGUGGCGGCCCGUCUGCGGCGACCUCUGCGUAGUAAUACAGCUCGCACCGGAACCCCGACGCGGCCACGCCGUAAAACACCCUACUUCUGAACGUUGACCUCGAAUCAGGUAGGACUACCCGCUGAACUUAAGCAUAUCAAUAAGCGGAGGA